rnacentral:rRNA from 1 species
AUAUUCGGCCAAUGACUGAGAGCCCCGGCCCAGAUCCUACGGAGGCAGCCAAGUAAGGGAAUCUUCCAACAUGGACGAAAGUCUGAUGGAGGCAACGCCGCGUGGAGGGAAGAAGUUUUCGGAUCGUAAAACUCUGUUGUUGAGAAGAAUGUAUCUGAUAGUAACUGAUCAGGUAGUGACGGUAUCCACCAGAAAGCCACGGCUACUACGUGCCAGCAGCCGCGGUAAUACGUAGGUGGCAAGCGUGUCCGGAUUAUUGGGCGUAGAGCGAGCGCAGGCGGUUUUUUAAGUCUGAUGUGAAAGCUUCGGCUCAACCGAAGAAGUGCAUCGGAAACUGGGAAACUUGAGUGCAGAAGAGGACAGUGGAACUCCAUGUGUAGCGGUGAAAUGCGUAGAUAUAUGGAAGAACACCAGUGGCGAAGGCGGCUGUCUGGUCUGUAACUGACGCUGAGGCUCGAAAGCAUGGGUAGCAAACAGGAUUAGAUACCCUGGUAGUCCAUGCCGUAAACGAUGAGUGCUAGGUGUUGGAGGGUUUCCGCCCUUCAGUGCCGCAGCUAACGCAUUAAGCACUCCGCCUGGGGAGUACGAUCGCAAGAUUGAAACUCAAAGGAAUUGACGGGGGCCCGCACAAGCGGUGGAGCAUGUGGUUUAAUUCGAAGCAACGCGAAGAACCUUACCAGGUC